rnacentral:rRNA from 1 species
AACGGCGGAGGUAGUGACAAUAAAUAACAAUAUAGGGCUCUUUAGGGUCUUAUAAUUGGAAUGAGUACAAUUUAAAUCCCUUAACGAGGAUCAAUUGGAGGGCAAGUCUGGUGAAAUACGGCUUCUGUCGCCAGAAAGAGUAUCAAUGCUAGUCGAGUGUUCUACAGGUUGUGGGUGAACACCGGCGAGGUAACCUGGAACGGGGAAUGCUAAGGAUUGUUAGAGAUCUAUGCAAAUCCCGUGGCGAGUGUAGUCUAUAAGGCUCACCGUUGUAACGCGCGCCAAGGUACCGAUUUGACUAAUAAGUCGAAUUCAAGGGACGUGCUAUUCCCAUCCGAAAGGAUGUCUUUCACUGAAGUACCCACAGUACAAAGGUGUGAAGAGAGCGACUGGGCAGGAAAUGGCCCAGGAUGUAGCUCGGUAUCAGUCGAAAGUGGGAUCACUCACUUCGGCCUUAUAAAGGCCAGCAGCCGCGGUAAUUCCAGCUCCAAUAGCGUAUAUUAAAGUUGUUGACGUUAAAAAGCUCGUAGUCGAACUUCGGCCUCUGAUGGCUGGUCCGCCUUUUUGGUGUGUACUGGUCUAUCGGAGGCUUACCUCCUGGUGAGCUCUGAUGCUCUUCACUGGGUGUCAGAGGGAACCAGGAUCUUUACUUUGAAAAAAUUAGAGUGUUCAAAGCAGGCCUUUAUGCCCCGAUACCUUAGCAUGGAAUAAUAGAAUAGGACGUGCGGUCCUUUUUUGUUGGUUUCUAGGAUC